CUACGGGUCGCUCCAGUGAGGAAUAUUGCACAAUGGGGGAAACCCUGAUACAGCAACGCCGCGUGGAGGAUGACGCAUUUCGGUGUGUAAACUCCUUUUAUCAGAGAAGAAAAUGACGGUAUCUGAUGAAUAAGCUCCGGCUAACUCCGUGCCAGCAGCCGCGGUAAUACGGAGGGAGCAAGCGUUAUUCGGAAUCACUGGGCGUAAAGGACGCGUAGGCGGGUUUUUAAGUCAGGUGUGAAAUCCUAUGGCUCAACCAUAGAACUGCACUUGAAACUGGGGACCUAGAGUAUGGAAGGGGCAGGUGGAAUUAGUGGUGUAGGGGUAAAAUCCGUAGAUAUCACGAGGAAUACCGAAAGCGAAGGCGACCUGCUGGGACAUUACUGACGCUGAGGCGUGAAAGCGUGGGGAGCAAACAGGAUUAGAUACCCCAGUAGUC
rnacentral:rRNA from 1 species